GCUCAGGAUGAACGCUAGCGGCAGGCUUACACAUGCAAGUCGAACGGUAAGGAUCACUUCGGUGAUUACACGAGUGGCGCACGGGUGCGUAACGCGUAUGCAACCUACCUUUAACAGGAGGAUAGCUCCGAGAAAUUGGGAUUAAUACUCCAUAAUAUUAUUUUAUUGCAUGAUAAAAUAAUUAAAGCUACGGCGGUUAAAGAUGGGCAUGCGUGACAUUAGCUGGUUGGUAAGGUAACGGCUUACCAAAGCGACGAUGUCUAGGGGGUCUGAGAGGAUGAUCCCCCACACUGGUACUGAGACACGGACCAGACUCCUACGGGAGGCAGCAGUGAGGAAUAUUGGUCAAUGGACGCAAGUCUGAACCAGCCAUGCCGCGUGCAGGAUUGACGGCCCUAUGGGUUGUAAACUGCUUUUAUUUGGGAAGAAAGGUCGCUACGAGUAGUGAUUUGACGGUACCAUUUGAAUAAGCACCGGCUAACUCCGUGCCAGCAGCCGCGGUAAUACGGAGGGUGCAAGCGUUAUCCGGAUUCAUUGGGUUUAAAGGGUGCGUAGGCUGAUAGAUAAGUCAGUGGUGAAAUCUUGCGGCUUAACCGUAAAACUGCCAUUGAUACUGUUUAUCUAGAGUACAUAUGAGGUAGGCGGAAUAUAGUAUGUAGCGGUGAAAUGCAUAGAUAUACUAUAGAACACCGAUUGCGAAGGCAGCUUACUAAAUUGUUACUGACGCUGAGGCACGAAAGCGUGGGGAGCGAACAGGAUUAGAUACCCUGGUAGUCCACGCAGUAAACGAUGAUUACUCGAUGUUGGCGAUACACUGUCAGCGUCUGCGCGAAAGCAUUAAGUAAUCCACCUGGGGAGUACGAUCGCAAGGUUGAAACUCAAAGGAAUUGACGGGGGCCCGCACAAGCGGAGGAGCAUGUGGUUUAAUUCGAUGAUACGCGAGGAACCUUACCUGGGCUUAAAUGUAGUGUGCAUUAGCGAUGAAAAUCCUAUUUCCUUCGGGACCCACUACAAGGUGCUGCAUGGUUGUCGUCAGCUCGUGCCGUGAGGUGUCGGGUUAAGUCCCAUAACGAGCGCAACCCCUAUUCUUAGUUGCCAUCAGGUAAUGCUGGGGACUCUAAGAAAACUGCCGGCGCAAGCCGUGAGGAAGGUGGGGAUGACGUCAAAUCAGCACGGCCCUUAUGUCCAGGGCUACACACGUGCUACAAUGGUCGGCACAAAGGGCAGCUACACAGCGAUGUGAUGCUAAUCUCCAAAGCCGAUCCUAGUUCGGAUCGAAGUCUGCAAUUCGACUUCGUGAAGUUGGAUUCGCUAGUAAUCGUAUAUCAGCAAUGAUACGGUGAAUAUGUUCCCGGGCCUUGUACACACCGCCCGUCAAGCCAUGGAAGCUGAGGGUACCUGAAGUUUGUGAUCCGUCUUUGAUGGAAGCGACCUUAAGGUAAAAUUACUGACUGGGGCUAAGUC
rnacentral:rRNA from 1 species